rnacentral:rRNA from 1 species
CCUACGGGUGGCAGCAGUGGGGAAUAUUGGACAAUGGGGGCAACCCUGAUCCAACCAUGCCGCGUGUGUGAAGAAGGCCCUCGGGUUGUAAAGCACUUUCAGUGAGGAAGAACGCCUGGUGGUUAAUACCCAUCAGGAAAGACAUCACUCACAGAAGAAGCACCGGCUAACUCCGUGCCAGCAGCCGCGGUAAUACGGAGGGUGCGAGCGUUAAUCGGAAUUACUGGGCGUAAAGCGCGCGUAGGUGGCUUGAUAAGCCGGUUGUGAAAGCCCCGGGCUCAACCUGGGAACGGCAUCCGGAACUGUCAAGCUAGAGUGCAGGAGAGGAAGGUAGAAUUCCCGGUGUAGCGGUGAAAUGCGUAGAGAUCGGGAGGAAUACCAGUGGCGAAGGCGGCCUUCUGGACUGACACUGACACUGAGGUGCGAAAGCGUGGGUAGCAAACAGGAUUAGAUACCCGAGUAGUC